UACGGGGGGGAGCAAGCGUUGUUCGGAUUUACUGGGCGUAAAGGGCGCGUAGGCGGUCAGCACAAGUCAGUUGUGAAAUCUCCGAGCUUAACUCGGAAAGGUCAACUGAUACUGUGCGACUAGAGUGCGGAAGGGGCAACUGGAAUUCUUGGUGUAGCGGUGAAAUGCGUAGAUAUCAAGAGGAACACCUGCGGCGAAGGCGGGUUGCUGGGCCGACACUGACGCUGAGGCGCGAAAGCUAGGGGAGCGAACGGG
rnacentral:rRNA from 1 species